GUCAGCACCCCGCACUCUCUGUGACGGGGCUAUGCGCGGAGCGCAGGCUACGCGCCCGGUGCCUCUAACUUCAGUUAGUUGACCAGCCUAAGUCUUAACUGACUACGUUUUUGUGAGUCAAGACACCCUGUUGGAUGCGUAGCUAGUCCCUGGCUCUGUC
rnacentral:sRNA from 1 species